AUGGAUGGAUGGAAAACCACAGGGAAGACAUUCAUGCCACAGCUGGUGCUGAAGAUUGUUGGUGGGAAACAAAUUAAGCAUUUUACUAAUGGGAAAAAAAGUCCUACAGAUCAUCUUAAGGUAACAAACUGCUCGGAGCACAGACACAGUCCACCUAACAGAGUCACAGAUGGAGAUUCAAGCAGAAAAUCACCUUCUCAUGACCUGGAGCAUCUGAGACCAGUUGAGCACACAGAAAACCUUUUAGAUGCCCUCAGACAGGUUCCUGACAGACGGUGUGUGACGGCACCAUGUGGAGAUCGAUCACGAUCCUACAUACAUCUGAAGUCCACAAUCAACAUGAGUUACACAAAACAACUCAUGCAAAAUCCUCAUAUUACGGAGGCACAGGUAAGACAUAAUGUGCAUGCUGUCUUUAAUCAAAUCGAACAAACACUACUGUCCAAAAGUUUGAGGUCAGAAAUUGUUCAUGUUUUUAAAAGAAGUCUCAUCAAGGUUGCAUAUAUUUGCUUAAGUAUACAGUAAAAAAUUGUAAUAUUGUGAAAUAUUCCUACCAUUUAAAUUUAGUUUCUAUGAAUAUGUUGUUAAAAUGUACUAUUUAUUGCUAUGAUGCAA
rnacentral:lncRNA from 1 species